GAUGAACGCUGGCGGCGUGCCUAAUACAUGCGAGUCGAGCGAACGGACGAGAAGCUUGCUUCUCUGAUGUUAGCGGCGGACGGGUGAGUAACACGUGGAUAACCUACCUAUAAGACUGGGAUAACUUCGGGAAACCGGAGCUAAUACCGGAUAAUAUUUUGAACCGCAUGGUUCAAAAGUGAAAGACGGUCUUGCUGUCACUUAUAGAUGGAUCCGCGCUGCAUUAGCUAGUUGGUAAGGUAACGGCUUACCAAGGCAACGAUGCAUAGCCGACCUGAGAGGGUGAUCGGCCACACUGGAACUGAGACGCGGUCCAGACUCCUACGGGAGGCAGCAGUAGGGAAUCUUCCGCAAUGGGCGAAAGCCUGACGGAGCAACGCCGCGUGAGUGAUGAAGGUCUUCGGAUCGUAAAACUCUGUUAUUAGGGAAGAACAUAUGUGUAAGUAACUGUGCACAUCUUGACGGUACCUAAUCAGAAAGCCACGGCUAACUACGUG
rnacentral:rRNA from 1 species